rnacentral:rRNA from 1 species
GAUGAACGCUGGCGGCGUGCCUAAUACAUGCAAGUCGAGCGAACAGACGAGGAGCUUGCUCCUCUGACGUUAGCGGCGGACGGGUGAGUAACACGUGGAUAACCUACCUAUAAGACUGGGAUAACUUCGGGAAACCGGAGCUAAUACCGGAUAAUAUAUUGAACCGCAGGGUUCAAUAGUGAAAGACGGUUUUGCUGUCACUUAUAGAUGGAUCCGCGCCGCAUUAGCUAGUUGGUAAGGUAACAGCUUACCAAGGCAACGAUGCGUAGCCGACCUGAGAGGGUGAUCGGCCACACUGGAACUGAGACACGGUCCAGACUCCUACGGGAGGCAGCAGUAGGGAAUCUUCCGCAAUGGGCGAAAGCCUGACGGAGCAACGCCGCGUGAGUGAUGAAGGUCUUCGGAUCGUAAAACUCUGUUAUUAGGGAAGAACAAAUGUGUAAGUAACUAUGCACGUCUUGACGGUACCUAAUCAGAAAGCCCCGGCUAACUACGUG